rnacentral:rRNA from 1 species
GUGCCAGCCGCCGCGGUAAUACGGAGGGUGCGAGCGUUAAUCGGAAUUACUGGGCGUAAAGGGUGCGUAGGUGGUUAUAUAAGUUAUCUGUGAAAUCCCCGGGCUCAACCUGGGAAGGUCAGAUAAGACUGUGUGACUUGAGUAUGGGAGAGGGUAGUGGAAUUUCCGGUGUAGCGGUGAAAUGCGUAGAGAUCGGAAGGAACACCAGUGGCGAAGGCGGCUACCUGGCCUGAUACUGACACUGAAGCACGAAAGCGUGGGGAGCAAACAGGAUUAGAUACCCUGGUAGUCC